GAUGAACGCUGGCGGCGUGCCUAAUACAUGCAAGUCGAGCGAACGGACGAGAAGCUUGCUUCUCUGAUGUUAGCGGCGGACGGGUGAGUAACACGUGGAUAACCUACCUAUAAGACUGGGAUAACUUCGGGAAACCGGAGCUAAUACCGGAUAAUAUUUUGAACCGCAUGGUUCAAAAGUGAAAGACGGUCUUGCUGUCACUUAUAGAUGGAUCCGCGCUGCAUUAGCUAGUUGGUAAGGUAACGGCUUACCAAGGCAACGAUGCAUGGCCGACCUGAGAGGGUGAUCGGCCACACUGGAACUGAGACGCGGUCCAGACUCCUACGGGAGGCAGCAGUAGGGAAUCUUCCGCAAUGGGCGAAAGCCUGACGGAGCAACGCCGCGUGAGUGAUGAAGGUCUUCGGAUCGUAAAACUCUGUUAUUAGGGAAGAACAUAUGUGUAAGUAACUGUGCACAUCUUGACGGUACCUAAUCAGAAAGCCACGGCUAACUACGUG
rnacentral:rRNA from 1 species